GUAGGUGGCAAGCGUUGUCCGGAAUUAUUGGGCGUAAAGCGCGCGCAGGCGGUCCUUUAAGUCUGAUGUGAAAGCCCACGGCUCAACCGUGGAGGGUCAUUGGAAACUGGGGGACUUGAGUACAGAAGAGGAAAGCGGAAUUCCAAGUGUAGCGGUGAAAUGCGUAGAGAUUUGGAGGAACACCAGUGGCGAAGGCGGCUUUCUGGUCUGUAACUGACGCUGAGGCGCGAAAGCGUGGGGAGCAAACAGGGAUUAGAUACCCUGGUAGUCCACGCCGGAAACGAUGAGUGCUAAGUGUUAGGGGGUUUCCCGCCCCCUAGUGCUGCAGCUAACGCAUUAAGCACUCCGCCUGGGGAGUACGCCGCAAGGCUG
rnacentral:rRNA from 1 species